UAGACACCAAGUCAGCUUUUUCAUUCGUGACAUGUUAGAGAGAAUGAUAGGAUUUUGCAGUCUAAAUAUCCUAUUAACAAAUCCUUUUGUUGUUUAGUUACAGAGCUUUCACUCUAGCAUCUGAAAAAGGAACCAACUCCUGCUAAAUCUUGAGAAUUGACACAUUGAAGCCUUAUCUUCAGACUCUGAAAAAGGCUGGAAGCUUAUCAUGGGCCUGGAUCUUGUGCUAUUCAAAUGUUUUCACCGAUGCCUACAACUGUAUUUGGCACAUAGAAGAUGCAAACAAUAAACCUCAGAACAUCUCAAACCCAAGGAGUCUGGAUUUUCCUGACAUCAAUGUAUCCUUUUGAGUAUAUUAUCGUAUCUCUUAACAUUUCUGUUUCAUCCUUGACCUGAGACUUUUUUUUUUUUUUUUAAUCUUGAGAUAAUUCUUGGCUUUGUCAAGGCUACUGGUGACAAAAGCAUUAGCAAGCAGGUGCAGAGUGCUUUUUCCACCAAAGAAGAGACAUUGUACUCUUUUUGGGGUUAUAUUAAUGACUAAUUCACCUCUCUGUCCUCCUCAAUGCCAUCUGUCUUUUGUUUGGUCUCCCUGAUGUUAGUCACGAAGUCUGCUUAGAAGGAUUUAUGUCUUACUUUGAUAUAGGUUCUAUACUCAAUGCUAGGGAACAAUCAUUGGCAAGAUGUGUCUCCUUUACUCAAAGAGGUUUUAAUGGUCUAUGUUUGGAAAAGAGACAUACAGUCAUUAGAAUGCAAUAUUGUGAAAGUUGACAAGGGAAAUUCUUGGGGUUAUGGGAAUCUUCAAUAUCUUUAUUGAGAAAUACAGAUAUACACAUUUAUCAAAACUCAUAAAAUGAUGAAUUUGUAGUAUUUUAUUGUGUAUAAAUUAUGCCUCAAUAAAAGUUCAUUGUAAUGUGCUGAAAGAAUAAAUGAUAAAGAAG
rnacentral:lncRNA from 10 species